rnacentral:misc_RNA from 1 species
CUAGCGUUGCCAUUUCUAGGCUCCUUUUGAGAGCUGUGUGACAGUGAAAAAGCUGCACGGCUGCUAGGUCUUGAACUAGCGCUAAUACCUUAUCGUUUUCUGAUCAAUUGGAAGAGGCAUUGCCGUUUCGACUCUAUCUCUCGCUUUUCGGUCUCUAUCUAAUUGUUUCUUAUUCCUCUGCAAGAAAUGUCGGUUGUUGGGCGGAGAGGAAUUCAUUACUUGCAGAAACUAAAAGCUGCGAACAUCCCUGCUGAGUUGAUAGAGAAGGGCCAAAAUCGCGUUAUUGAUGCUUCUCUUACUCUUAUUCGUGAGAGAGCGAAGCUUAAGGGAGAGCUUGUGCGUGCUCUAGGAGGUGUUGUGGCAUCAUCGUCCCUUCUUGGAGUUCCUCUGGGGCAUAACUCAUCAUUUCUUCAGGGCCCAGCAUUUGCUCCUCCUCGAAUUAGGGAGGCCAUCUGGUGCGGUAGCACUAACUCAUCAACUGAAGAAGGGAAAGAAUUGAAUGAUCCCCGUGUUCUAACUGAUGUUGGUGAUGUCCCUGUCCAAGAAAUUCGAGAUUGUGGUGUAGAUGAUGACAGAUUGAUGAAUGUUAUAAGCGAGUCUGUCAAGCUGGUGAUGGAAGAGGAUCCAUUACGUCCGUUAGUUUUAGGUGGUGAUCAUUCAAUAUCUUUUCCUGUGGUACGAGCUGUCUCUGAGAAGCUUGGUGGACCUGUUGAUAUUCUUCAUCUGGAUGCACAUCCAGAUAUCUAUCAUGCCUUUGAAGGAAAUAUAUAUUCUCAUGCGUCAUCAUUUGCCCGAAUAAUGGAAGGUGGUUAUGCACGGAGGCUCUUGCAAGUAGGUAUCAGAUCAAUAACAGAAGAAGGCCGUGAGCAGGGCAAAAGGUUUGGAGUGGAGCAAUUUGAAAUGCGAACCUUCUCCAGAGAUCGCCAUCUCUUGGAAAAUCUGAAAUUAGGGGAAGGUGUAAAGGGUGUUUAUAUCUCGAUAGAUGUGGACUGCCUUGACCCUGCUUUUGCUCCUGGUGUGUCUCACAUUGAGCCUGGUGGUCUUUCUUUCCGUGAUGUUCUCAACAUCCUCCACAACCUUCAAGCUGAUGUCGUUGCAGCAGAUGUGGUUGAAUUCAAUCCACAGCGUGACACUGUUGAUGGGAUGACUGCAAUGGUUGCUGCCAAGCUGGUACGAGAACUAACUGCAAAGAUAUCCAAAUGAGAACUUUUUCAAAUUGGUUUCCUUGGUGCUCCUGGAACCGGUGUUGCCUGUCUUCCAACAUUAGCAUAUUUUUCCUCAGUAGCCGUGGAGGGCUUCUCUAAGGAAAUAUGAAAUAUUUUGUUCAAACCCCCUUCCGAGAGAGAGAGAGAGAGAG